rnacentral:tRNA from 1 species
GCCAGGGUGGUGGAAGUGGUAGACACGCUGGGUUUAGGUUCCAGUCUUUUGUAGGGUAGGGGUUCAAAUCCCUCUCUGGUA